CGAUUCGAGCGAAAGCGAGAAAGCGUUGCCGCAGGCAACGACCCGAAGGGCGAAGCGCGCAGCGCUGAGUCAUCCUUCCCCCACCACCA
rnacentral:sRNA from 2 species